CCCCGGUAAACGGCGGCCGUAACUAUAACGGUCCUAAGGUAGCGAAAUUCCUUGUCGGGUAAGUUCCGACCUGCACGAAUGGCGUAAUGAUGGCCAGGCUGUCUCCACCCGAGACUCAGUGAAAUUGAACUCGCUGUGAAGAUGCAGUGUACCCGCGGCAAGACGGAAAGACCCCGUGAACCUUUACUAUAGCUUGACACUGAACAUUGAGCCUUGAUGUGUAGGAUAGGUGGGAGGCUUUGAAGUGUGGACGCCAGUCUGCAUGGAGCCGACCUUGAAAUACCACCCUUUAAUGUUUGAUGUUCUAACGUGGACCCGUAAUCCGGGUUGCGGACAGUGUCUGGUGGGUAGUUUGACUGGGGCGGUCUCCUCCUAAAGAGUAACGGAGGAGCACGAAGGUUGGCUAAUCCUGGUCGGACAUCAGGAGGUUAGUGCAAUGGCAUAAGCCAGCUUGACUGCGAGCGUGACGGCGCGAGCAGGUGCGAAAGCAGGUCAUAGUGAUCCGGUGGUUCUGAAUGGAAGGGCCAUCGCUCAACGGAUAAAAGGUACUCCGGGGAUAACAGGCUGAUACCGCCCAAGAGUUCAUAUCGACGGCGGUGUUUGGCACCUCGAUGUCGGCUCAUCACAUCCUGGGGCUGAAGUAGGUCCCAAGGGUAUGGCUGUUCGCCAUUUAAAGUGGUACGCGAGCUGGGUUUAGAACGUCGUGAGACAGUUCGGUCCCUAUCUGCCGUGGGCGC
rnacentral:rRNA from 1 species